rnacentral:lncRNA from 1 species
CGCUUUGUCUUUAGGGUGAAAGCUCUGCUAUAUUGUGAGCAGAAUUAAUAUAGACAGGAAGCCAACGAAAUAAAAGAAGGUGGGGGUUUUGUAUAUGAAGAAAAAAAAGAGAAAGAAGCAUUUAGUACAAAACAUUGCCCUCAACUGGAAAUAUGUGCCUGGUUUACUGUCUGUGGAUGUAGCUCCAUGAG